GCAUCGAUGAAGAACGUASCGAAAUGCGAUACUUGGUGUGAAUUGCAGAAUCCCGUGAACCAUCGAGUCUUUGAACGCAAGUUGCGCCCGAAGCCAUUAGGCCGAGGGCACGUCUGCCUGGGCGUCAC
rnacentral:rRNA from 1 species